AUUGAACGCUGGCGGCAGGCCUAACACAUGCAAGUCGAACGAGUGGCGGACGGGUGAGUAAUACAUCGGAAUCUACUCUGUCGGGGGGGAUAACGAAUGGAAACUUACGCUAAUACCGCAUACUAUCGAAUGAGCCGAUGUGGGAUUAGCUAGUUGGCGGGGUAAAGGCCAACCAAGGCGACGAUCCCUAGCUGGUCUGAGAGGAUGAUCAGCCACACUGGAACUGAGACACGGUCCAGACUCCUACGGGAGGCAGCAGUGGGGAAUAUUGGACAAUGGGCGCAAGCCUGAUCCAGCCAUGCCGCGUGUGUGAAGAAGGCCUUCGGGUUGUAAAGCCCUUUUGUUGGGGAAGCGGUACCCAAAGAAUAAGCACCGGCUAACUUCGUGCCAGCAGCCGCGGUAAUUC
rnacentral:rRNA from 1 species